ACGUAAAUUAAUAAAAUAAAAACAAAUAAAUUAUGUUGUCCAUGUUUAAAAAGUAUGAAGAGAAGGAAAUAGUACAAUACUUUACAAGGUACCCUUUAAUUCGCGUUAUGUACAAGAGAAAAAGGAAGAUUUGAAGGUACUUGAUGUCAAGACGCAAGAAGAUGAAGGGUCUAUAGUAGAAAAAAAUGGUCUAAAUGUGAUAAUAAUAAAAUGCCUUAUACUACAACUCAACUUAGGCCAACUGAGAAAGGACAGACAGUGUUUUCUACUUGUACAAACUGUAAAUUCAACGAAAACAUAAAUUCGUAAAACAACUGGUUUUUGUACAUAAUUUACUUCUUUGCAUCGUUCUGGAGUGUUAAAUAUAUUACAUGAAUAUAACAACUAGAAAUGGGAAAAGCAAACAUUCCUGAGACAGUACCACGUAAUCAACCAGCCAAAGAGUCUUCAUUAAAAAAAUCUUAGAGAAAAGACACAGAAAUUGUAAAAUUUUCUUCAAAAAUAUCACCCACCACUUGAGCCUGAAUGCUGUCAACGAAUGAAUAAUGUCUUAGUGUUCCCAAGCAGUGCAGAAGUUUCCAUCUAACAUCACCAUGAUCCAGGUCCUCUACGUGCAUCUUUUUUGAUACACCUUGUAUAUAUUGUAUUUUAUUUUUGUACGAUUUGUAUUAUAAAUAAAGUGAAUUAG